GUUGCAUCAAUAAACAACCUCGGUGCUCGUAGACUAUAGGCCAAGGACACUUCCGCUGGGGUGGGUUGGAGGUAGCUCCGCACCACUGAUAUUAUACCUUAUUGGACAAUCCGUUCAUGCUAUUUUGAUGGAAAUAUAACAAUCUUCCUGCAGUUCGAUGUGUUCACGUGUCCUUCGAUGUCCAGUCGCCAGGGAAUCUAUAUGUAGGCCAAUAUUAUCGACGUUAUCGAUGUUGCCGAGGUCGAUAGGACUACCGAUGAUAUAAGGCCCGGAUUGUUCUUGAAUUCCAUCGUUUGUUCGACCAGUUACAGAUGAUGAACUGUUACGAACACCGCUGUUUUGUGGGGGUGUACUGUCCAUAUGAGGUAUAGAAGAAAGAUCCGGCGGUGUAAAUGGACGUAAUAAGCCAGGACUGGGAACCUGGGGGUUCCCCCUGGCACUUGGUUGCAUUGAACGUAACGGAACCUAAAUCAGAUGAAAUGUAUUAAUGUAAUAUCUAUGUCGAUUAGUUUAGUUCAGUUUUGAGAGAAAAAUUUAUUAAAAAUUUGAGUGAUUUAAUUACUUAAACAUGAAAGAAUUCGAAUUUUUAUUUUAUUAAAUAAUCUACUUAAAAUUAAAUUUUGUUUAACUAAUGAUGAGUAAUAUUGAUCAUUAGAAGUCGAUUAUUUUUUAUAUGAUAAGAUAAUAUCACAAUAAAUUAUUUCAAAUUC